rnacentral:misc_RNA from 1 species
GUUUUCAAAUUUUAGAAACCUCACAAAGAGGCAUUCAAAUACACAAAAUAAGCAAAGCAGGUGUUGUUUGUGGCUGGCGGUCCGAGCGAAAGACAAAGUGUCUGACACCCAUGGUUUGUGGACCGCCAAAAUACAGGAAACGUUACACAAAGAGGUGGAUAUGAGUGGGCGUAGCUGCGUUUUUAAGGCAGCACCGCCACAUCCUCAAUUCUUUAAUGAUCCAACCGCAGGUUCACCUACGGUUA